UGGGGAAUAUUGGACAAUGGGCGAAAGCCUGAUCCAGCCAUGCCGCGUGUGUGAAGAAGGUCUUCGGAUUGUAAAGCACUUUAAGUUGGGAGGAAGGGCAGUAAGCGAAUACCUUGCUGUUUUGACGUUACCGACAGAAUAAGCACCGGCUAACUCUGUGCCAGCAGCCGCGGUAAUACAGAGGGUGCAAGCGUUAAUCGGAAUUACUGGGCGUAAAGCGCGCGUAGGUGGUUCGUUAAGUUGAAUGUGAAAGCCCCGGGCUCAACCAGGGAACUGCAUCCAAAACUGGCGAGCUAGAGUAGGGCAGAGGGUGGUAGAAUUUCCUGUGUAGCGGUGAAAUGCGUAGAUAUAGGAAGGAACACCAGUGGCGAAGGCGACCACCUGGGCUCAUACUGACACUGAGGUGCGAAAGCGUGGGGAGCAAACAGG
rnacentral:rRNA from 1 species